AGGAACCACUCGUACAUUGCGGUUCCUGCAUGCCCGCACGCAGCCACCUGACGAGGCUCGCCACGUUUAAGCC
rnacentral:sRNA from 6 species